CUGACCACUCAUCUCCUACUUUCUCUGUGGGGUGAACUUUCCAAAGACGACCACUGUAUUAAGACUCCGUCACCUGGCAAUGGCAACGACCACCAUCAAAAGACUUCGUCUCCAGGGAAUCAAAGACUCAAUGUGCUCAUAAGGUUUUGAAACUCCUUACGUAGAAUUGUGGAAAAUCCAGACUUAACAAAUUGACCCCUCAUCUCCUACUUCCUCUGCGGGAUGAACCUUCCAAAGACCACCACCUUGUUAGGAUUCAGUCACCUGGGAAUGGCAAUGACCACCAUCAAAAGACUUCGUCACCAGGGAAUCACAGACUCAAUGUGCUCCAUCCACAGUGCCAACAUAACAGCCUGACCACUCAUCUCCUACUUCCUCUGCGGGGUGAACUUUCCAAAGACGACCACUGUAUUAAGACUCCGUCACCUGGCAAUGGCAACGACCACCAUCAAAAGACUUCGUCUCCAGGGAAUCAAAGACUCAAUGUGCUCAUAAGGUUUUGAAACUCCUUACGUAGAAUUGUGGAAAAUCCAGACUUAACAAAUUGACCCCUCAUCUCCUACUUCCUCUGCGGGAUGAACCUUCCAAAGACCACCACCUUGUUAGGAUUCAGUCACCUGGGAAUGGCAAUGACCACCAUCAAAAGACUUCGUCACCAGGGAAUCACAGACUCAAUGUGCUCCAUCCACAGUGCCAACAUAACAGCCUGACCACUCAUCUCCUACUUCCUCUGUGGGGUGAACUUUCCAAAGACGACCACUGUAUUAAGACUCCGUCACCUGGCAAUGGCAACGACCACCAUCAAAAGACUUCGUCUCCAGGGAAUCAAAGACUCAAUGUGCUCAUAAGGUUUUGAAACUCCUUACGUAGAAUUGUGGAAAAUCCAGACUUAACAAAUUGACCCCUCAUCUCCUACUUCCUCUGCGGGAUGAACCUUCCAAAGACCACCACCUUGUUAGGAUUCAGUCACCUGGGAAUGGCAAUGACCACCAUCAAAAGACUUCGUCACCAGGGAAUCACAGACUCAAUGUGCUCCAUCCACAGUGCCAACAUAACAGCCUGACCACUCAUCUCCUACUUCCUCUGUGGGGUGAACUUUCCAAAGACGACCACUGUAUUAAGACUCCGUCACCUGGCAAUGGCAACGACCACCAUCAAAAGACUUCGUCUCCAGGGAAUCAAAGACUCAAUGUGCUCAUAAGGUUUUGAAACUCCUUACGUAGAAUUGUGGAAAAUCCAGACUUAACAAAUUGACCCCUCAUCUCCUACUUCCUCUGCGGGAUGAACCUUCCAAAGACCACCACCUUGUUAGGAUUCAGUCACCUGGGAAUGGCAAUGACCACCAUCAAAAGACUUCGUCACCAGGGAAUCACAGACUCAAUGUGCUCCAUCCACAGUGCCAACAUAACAGCCUGACCACUCAUCCCCUACUUCCUCUGCGGGGUGAACUUUCCAAAGACGACCACUGUAUUAAGACUCCAUCACCUGGCAAUGGCAACGACCACCAUCAAAAGAUUUUGUCAACUGGCAAUGGCAACGACCACCAUAAGAGGACUCUGUCACCUGGUAAUUAGACUAAUUGUGAUUUGCAUUAAACCUUUAUUUUAUAUCAUUACAUUAAAAAUACACUAACACCAGAAUGUGACCUAUUAAAAGUUCAUAAGAUCCUGUUUAGCACAGGAUCAAAUGUACUGAUGAGAAAAAUGUUCUAGUAACGCUGCAAU